rnacentral:rRNA from 1 species
CCUACGGGAGGCAGCAGUGAGGAAUAUUGGUCAAUGGACGAGAGUCUGAACCAGCCAAGUAGCGUGAAGGAUGACUGCCCUAUGGGUUGUAAACUUCUUUUAUAUGGGAAUAAAAUGUUCCACGUGUGGGAUUUUGUAUGUACCAUAUGAAUAAGGAUCGGCUAACUCCGUGCCAGCAGCCGCGGUAAUACGGAGGAUCCGAGCGUUAUCCGGAUUUAUUGGGUUUAAAGGGAGCGUAGGUGGAUUGUUAAGUCAGUUGUGAAAGUUUGCGGCUCAACCGUAAAAUUGCAGUUGAAACUGGCAGUCUUGAGUACAGUAGAGGUGGUCGGAAUUCGUGGUGUAGCGGUGAAAUGCUUAGAUAUCACGAAGAACUCCGAUUGCGAAGGCAGUUCACUGGACUGCAACUGACACUGAGGCUCGAAAGUGUGGGUAUCAAACAGGAUUAGAUACCCCAGUAGUC